CGCUCAGCUACAGCUUAAAACGUGUACGAUGGGCGGAGCCUCGUGUACUUACCGCACUGGUGUCCCUGCAGCGAGAGGUCUUUGAUGGCCACGCCUCCUCCGCGCCCGCCGCUUACCGCCUCAAACAUCACCUGUCGUUCGAACGGUUAACACAUAGUAACGGGACCCCGGUUUGACCGAGUCGGAGCCAAUCGCGACUGAUGUUGGCUAAAAUCAUUAGUUUGCUCGCUGUUAAUUUAACCACAAAUUCCUGUAAAAAGAGGACAUUCCAACUUUUUACUGAAAAGCUCAGCCAGUCGGUGAAACCCACGGAAGGCGGAGCUUAUGUUUUAAAGGUUUUUUUUCUACUCUUUUCAUUUUUGGGAGCGACCUGGUAGAGGUUGGGCCAGAAGGUGGACACGGCCAGCUCCAACGAGGUCCACGUGCGUCCCUCGUGUCCGGACGAGUUGAAGACGGGAAAGCCCGGCGGGCUGUUGUUUUCUGGCGAAAAGUGGCGGCACCAGAAGACGGGCGCCCUUUCCGGCGCCGCGACCGCUCGUGUUCACGAACAAGAAAGGGGAGGAGCCUGCGCACGGAAAAGUCACGGGUGAAAAGACCAAUGCGGUCCUCCUCCUCCCCCCCCAACCCGUUUUCAGCAGGAGGAGAAGGUCACCUCCGAGAGGGACAACAUUCAUCCUGACAGUCAACCAAAAGGUCUUCACCCACAGGACACACACACAAACCUUUCCAGCGCUGGAUUUCCGCAUCCUGCCUCAGAAGCGGCGCUAGCUAAAGAGUGCGUGUCGCCCGGAGCCCCCUCCCGGUCUUUCACUAAUGCAAACUUGCUGCGAGUCAGACCGGAGGGGCAUUGGCGCAGCCCCCUCCUUACCUCGGCGCACGCGCGCACGUACUUUUUUAAAGCCGAGUUAACAUGUUUUUUCAUUUCAUUUCACAUUUUUUGGGCCGCGAUUUUCAUCCAACGGAUGCUCCAAUUCACCAUAGUAAUGGAGGAUAUUUUCCUUGUGAACCUAUUGGCGGCCUAUAGACCUCCAGUCCGUUUGAAGCAAAUGGGUCGGACAUCUACUAGUGAUAAAGAGGGUGCACCUUGGCCAGAGGAAGAACCUUUUUUUUUUUCAACUCCGCGGACGGGCAUCCGAUCCGACGUAGAAUCGAACGUUCUUUGGCCUCGGCCCCCGCCGCUUCAAACGGAUCGGACGUCUACUAGCGAUGGAAAUCAACGGCGGGAGGGCGAUCCGACGCCUAUUGUUGUGCCAAAUUUUAGGAUGAGGAAGGAACCCUUUCCGGUGUAAACGGAUCGAACGGCCGGGCCGCCCGCGUAUCCGUGACGACGACAUGAAAUCAAAUCAAAUAUUUACCAAAAACACAGAGUUUGUCUUGAAAAGAUUACACGGGCAUGUCCUGUAUGAGUUUUUUUUUUUAAUCCCUGUUCUGAGAUGUCAGUCUGAUUAGUGUCGUGGCCCAAAUCCCAGAUCAUAUUCAAAGGAUUAUUGUUUGAAGAUGCGUGCGUAUGAGACAGAACUAAUGAGAUGUGGAUUAGUGCGCUCGCUUGUGUGUCUUGUCGCUCUAAUCUGCCUGUUGUGUGUUCAGCAGGUUUGACGAUUCCUCUUCUUUACUUGUCGCUACUUGGCAAUUUCAGCCGACACGGGCGCGCCAUCUGUCCGUGUCGGCGCGGGGACCCCAGACAAUAAACAUCCAUCAAAUAAAAGAGAAAUAUAUUACCCGCAGAUCAUCGUCAUUAUGCUAAUUAUUGGAAAGCGCUGCCGGCUAGCGCUAGCGCGCACUCUGACGCACGGCCUAUAUUGGUGUGUAUGAGAGAUGAUUUCUUUCAGUGUGUUUCUAUUUUCUUUUGUUUUGUUUUUUUUUUAAAUCAAAUUUCUUUGCAUCCAUCCGUUCAUUUUUUGCCAACCCUCCCACUUCAAAUGGAUCGGACGUCUAGUGCCGUCAGUGGCAGACAAUGAGCUAAGCAGUGUCAUGAUAACACUUAGGCUAGGUUCAGACCGCAGGUCUUAAUGCACGAGUCCAAUUUUUCGGUGUUUUUCCGACUCGAGCGAGGCAUUAACUUGACGGUCUGAACGUCAAGGGUCGCAUAAAAGUGGAUCAUUUCAAAUCCGAUCUGGGUCACUUUUUGUAUGUGGUUUAAACCCGAUCUAGGCCACAUUUUUCCAGAAUGUAGCGGUGGUCUGAACUGCCAAGUCUCCCAAAUUGGAAGUCACGCAGCAAUGAAAGAGCGAAAAAGACAGGGCGCUACGGUAGCGGUGCAGCUGCGCAUUAUUAGCGUUAGCUCUUAGUUUGAACACAGCUUUUGGGGAAGGAACGGGAUUGACGACAGUCACAGAAAAUAAAAUGGGUUGAGGAUAAGCCUGAAAAUGCUCGGUUUUCUCUCUGCUCCGAAUGAGCAAUAUUUCAAGAUUGCUUACACGGCCGGGAGUCGGGGCAAACGGUCCGCAUGUGCGUGCGCGUCAUGCGUAGUCAUUUGUUUUGAUGCUCCUGCGCAUGUGGGUCAGUUGCUCAGCGCAUCUCGGACUGCGAAUCAGGGCGCAUGCGUGAUACUUGAACAGGCUCAAUGGACAAAGGCAGAGUAAACGGGCACGCCAAAAAAACAUGACAAGAAAUCGGAAUUGUGACCUGCAGUAUGAACCUAGCCUUACUUUACAUUUAAGUGAGUAUGCAAUCCUUUUUUUUUUUUUUAAACAUGGUAUCUUCCGAUACCACACGGGCAGGUGGCGGUAUCGGGAGCCAAAAAAUGACACUAGUACAUAGACUUCAUUACUAUUGACGUGACACUUCGUCAUUCUUGCACGGCGCCUCACCAUAGGGGGCCUAGCUUGAAUCUUUAUUUAGUAGUAGUCAGUCGAAGGUGACACACGGUCAUGUCAAAGCCGGGUUUAAGCUUGGAUUUUGGAAGAACUACGAAAGCUGUACCGCAUACAAACGGGAAGGAUUGUCUCAGGAGUGAUUUGUUGGAGGAUUCAAGGUAAAUACUUUAUUUUUCAUACCAUGCAUGUAUUUUGAAACGUGAGGAAAAAAAAGUCAAUGGGAGAAUGGGAACCACUACGACAUUGGCGUCAAUUGUUCGACAUAAAUACGUACCUAUAAAGAAUUCAGGGAUUUAGAGCAUUUAUUCACAAGAAUUUACACCAGCCGGCCGCUAGCCUCAUUUGCUAACAGAGUAGCACUGUACUUCGAUAAUAUACGUAAAAUAAACACUAACUGCACGGUUUAUUUGAUUUCGACCAAGAAUCUCGACUGUUUUACGUCCAUAUCUAUGAAGAAUUCGGGGAUUUAAGCAUUUAUUCACAAGACUUUUUGCCAGAAAAGCUCCGUUUACUCCGGGCGGCCGCUAGCCUCAUUCGCAAACAGUAUAUAGUGUAUAAUGAUAAUAAAGGGCUAUUCUAUUGUAUAAUAACUUGUGAUUGUACAUAGAAUUUAUGAAUGAUCUAUUUACAUAUUAUUUUUAAUUGAUUCUGCAUGUUUUCCUCAAGUAUUAACCCUUUAAGGUCUGGGCCUAUUUUGUCUGAUUUUGCAUGCCUUUGAAGUUGCCUUUAUAUUUCAAAGAAAGAAUUGUUUACGAUGGCCUGGUUUGGUCCCUUUUUUUGUGACACCUUGAACUUCAUGUCCAAAUUGUUGUUUCCUUCACUGAUCAAUUAUAAAUCAUCAUUUUGGGCCCAAAAAGACCAAAAAUUCCAAAAUCGUUUUGUCAAAAUUUUUAAUAUUGAUGUCCAAUUGACAACCAAACAUGCGUAACGAACCCUUUCGAAACUUUGUAAUAUUUAUUCAACAUGUUAGGAUGAACAUUCAACCAAAAAAAUUUAGAAUAAAUAGUCUUAUAUUUGACAAUUCAACAUAAACAACAGGUAUAGCCAUAGGCGUUUUUUGCCUUUAUACAUGCUCCAGUCAAAACAGGUUAUAUACAGCAGACCUAACAGUGAAGAACAGUGAAAAAAUAUAUACCAUCUAACACAAAAAGUGUUUAGAGGCCAUCUCUUUAUGAGUUUAGGUAUUGCGGCCCAUCGCCUGAUGAAAACUAUGUACACACAAUCAAGCUUCUUGAACACACAUUUAUAUACACAAAUUGAGAAGGUUGAUGUGGGAAAAAAAAUAUAUAUAUAUAACAUUGGGGGAAAAAAAGCAUUUUCAAAAAUAUUUACAAUAAACAAGUUAAAUUUUUUUCAGUCAUGCCACUCCGAAAAGCAGUUUCGUCCUGGAAUUAGACACGGCUACAUCACACAGCUCACACUUCCAUGGGGUGUCGGUCCUCUUUCCACCCUUCCAUUUUCAUUUCACUUUACUUUCAUUGUCACUAUAAAUGUACAUGAAAAUAAGUCAGUAUUUAUGAAAAUAAUAAAGUAUAAAAUAAAAAUAUAUACAGCAAUAAAUAAUAAUGGAAAUCUAUAUGUAUGACAAUAGAAAGAAUACCAUAGCUGAAUAUGUGCUACAUCCCUAAUCUUCAUAUAGAAAGAAGAACACCACAAAUGAUAAAUUCCUGCCUGGGAUACCCACAGUGCACGUACGACUUUGAUCUGAUAUGCACAUUUUAUUAUUAUAUACACAAACACACACUUAUAUUGCAUCAAAAUUAACUUUGUCUUGCAAUAUCAAAAGAAACUUUCAAAAGAAACGUUUUCAGCAUGAAAAAAAAGAGUGAGUUGGUUUACCUCUGCUCGUCGAUGGCGUCACCCACGUGUUCAAAUCCGUCACUAUCUUCACUCGAGGACUCUUCGGAAGAAGACGAUGAUGACGAAUUUGGACCAUCCUCUUCCUCAAGUUGAUCAGAAGCACAAUUGCUUGCGCUAAAUUUAGUUUUCCGUUCAUUGUCAAAGUUACACAAAGUCGCUGCUCGAUCCAGCAGUAUCCAACUGGCCGUCGCUCGCCACCUCGCUGCUUCAGAACACUCCUCCCUCUCGUUCGGUUGAACCUCGCACCGCAGUUAUAUUUAUUAAAAAAAAAAAAAAAAAAAACGCAUUUUGUGCUUCCACUGUGACUUCGAAAGGGUUCGUUUGAUUUGUGGGUUUUUUUCAUGGAGCUUCCGUUUUGAAAAAGGACUAGAAAUGAUGGAAAUAUAGACAUAAACAAAUGAUCCAUGCAGCGUUUUAAUGUUUUUUUGAGAGGACAAUAAAACUAUAAAACUAAAUGACAAUAUCUCACGUUCUAGUUGGUCGAUUGACUUCAAAUAAUAACGAGAGUAAACCGCAACUUCCGCACUUUAAAACGAGACCAACCAACGGCAUGUGGGUGACGUAAUUAAAACGUGAGGGCGCUUCAAAGACGACGUGCGCUGAGGACGCGCCGGCGCGUCCUUCGACUCUCAAGGGUUAAGUUUCUGUUGUUAAAUGAAGUGAUUUAUUAGCUGUUGAAAACUUGCAGCAAAAAAAAAGUCGCUAUUUUGGUCAAAAACCCUAUAAUGAUAUGUUAAAUUUCUUAAAGUUCUUGAAAAUAUAGGUGAUUAUCUCUGCAUUUGGCGAUUUUUGAUCAUCUAGUGUAAAAUCUGAGACAUUUAUAGCCAUUUUGAGUUGGGUUAUACUUCUUUAAAUAAUAAUGAAUCGGGAUUUUAUAAGGGAACCACUUUGAAUUUUUUGAUGCUGCUGCUCAUGAAGACUCAUAAGGUAGGUGUCUGUUUUGGUUUUAGGUCGGUAGCAGCUUUGGUUUUGAAAAUAUUGGAAGUUUUUGAAAAUAGGCCCCCUACAAAUCGGCCCCGUUUCCCAUGUCAUGUCAAUAGGUUAUGAAGUCUAUGACUAGUAUUCAUUGAUCCACGGACUUGGUUUUUUGUUUUCCGAAACAGGAUUUCUUGAGCACCGUCGGAUGGAAAUCAACAAAAAGAGGAAGUACUUCGAUACGCCGUUAUUAAAAUGUCAGAAGGGCAACAGAUUGCAUCUUUUUAAGUCUAUUACCAGAGAUGAAAUGGAACGGAUAGUGCUGAAUGCGUGUUUAAUAUUGCGUUAAAUCGACGGAAGGCCCCGGAAACCCAUCUUGCCAAAUAUCGUAAAAUGAUCGAAACCAUCGGUUCCGUGUCGGCCAUUUACGCCCCUCGCGACGCUUCUUGUCUGAAUGACGUCAUGUGUAUGUCAGCGGCCACUUCCUGCGCUCGCCCGAGUUGUGUUCCCGGAGCGGAGGAUCUCAUGCGAGCGCACGCACGCGGUGAGAUCGGGCCGGUUAAACAAAAGGAGCGCAAAUCCGUCCUCCUAAUCCUCACCGGCGUUGCGCGCGCGGUAUCUCCGGGCGGCCGCGUUAAUCCCUCGGUGGCGCCCGAGCCCGGCCCGGCCUAACCCGGCCCGGCCUUGUCGUCGCUGCCGACAAGCUGCGCUAAUGCAAAAUGCUAAGCGCGCAGUAUAUUUGAAAUAGUCACCCGGGGUUCCUUAAUCAAGCGGUAAGCCGCAACUCAGAAUAGGGAAGAAAAAAAAAAAAAAAAAAAAAGAAUAUGGUCGGCCACCGCAGAAGUAGUUCACCUUCUUUAGUUGGCAACCCAUCAAGAUGGGAAGGGCCUCCCUUUUUGAUGUCCUGCAGCAUGUUCUUAGCAUGUCGUUGGCGUGUCAAGAGAGAAAACAGUCUGUCCGCGCGCAACGUUUGAGCAUCAUUAAAAUCCUGACGAGACAAAACAAAAAGCUGACCCGACUGCACACCCAAGGAGAAAAGGUAAAGUCCUGACUCAGCGACAGCCUCAACCUGGACGCAUCAGGUCACUGGGGAAUGCGCGCGCGCACACGCAUUUUGUCUGCCCGUCCAAAAGCAUCUUGGCUGUCACUGCCUGUGACUUGUGUCGAGCUGAUGAGAAACUGAGAAAAGGGGACUUCCAUAUCAUUUUUUUCUGACACUUUUUGGAUAAAAUUGGCUUCUCCGAAAAACUGUGAGGUCAUACAUUUGCAAAACUCGGCCCAGGGUCAGCGACCAACCUGACCGCAGGCCGACCGAAACGCACGCACGCACGCAGCACAAACGUGACGUGUUAAUUGGGAGGGGGGGAAGCGUGAAUAGAAAUCAACACUGUCAUCAACACUUUCUGGCUGUGACUUAGUCUUUGCUUCUUUUCUUCCUUCAACCUCGACAUCCUUCCUCAACUUGUUGUUCAUCUGAGAACAAACCAAGUUAGAUGUUCACUGAGCCACCAUCAACACAGUUUUUUCAAAACAAUUAUUUCAUUAUUAGAGAUCUUAAAGAUGUGCACCUUUCUAGAUAACGUUGUGAAGAGAACAGACAAAAAUGGUUCCCUAUAGUUAGGAGCGACACACGGGUCGAAAUAGCCUUGGGGCGGGGGGUAACUCAUUAUUAAAGUAGAAAAGUAUAUAAGAGAAAAUUACAUAUUCUUUUUUAAAAAUCCCCACAAUAAACCUGGUGUAAGAAUUUUCACUACAGUAUUUGCUCAAACACAAUCUAAUAGGAUAACACCGUUUGUUUUCAACCACCAGAUGUCCUCAAACUCCUCACCACACACCCAGGUCACAGAGGAACAGGGGGAGGGGGAGAUGGGUGGGUGGGUUAUGCGCCAGCUUAGCGGCACACA